CUGCAAGGUAGACUAGGAACAGAGGAAGGAGAUUGGCCCAAGGUCAUCAAAUGAGCUUCAUGGCUAAGCAAGGAGUUGAGCAUGGGUCUCUCCAGUCCAAGCCCAAGAGAUGGCUAACCUUUCUUCUUCUUUUUUCACCCAAGGGUCACUUUCACCCUUGACCAACCCUCUGGGGCUGAACUGGCCUAUGACAUUUUGCUGCCAGAGGCAAAAGGCAAGAUAGUGCUUCCCCUGUCCAUGAUCAGAAGGUGACUGGACUGAGGGCUGACGCAAUCGUCAACACUGGCAACAGGAUAACAGCAUCUUUCAGCACACAUGAAGGCUGGUAGCUCAUUCAGGGUAUACAGCGCAGGCCACCUGGCGUAUCUACUUCUGCCCUCCAACAGAGAACAGCCAAGGAGGAGAUACUGGUUCCAUCCCUCAUCAACUGCCACCUGAGGUAAUUGGCUUACUCUGUCCAAUGGCCGCACCAGCCCUUCUCUGGGGACUGUCUCUCACACAGAGGCAAACAUAAACGCAACUCCAUGAAGUUCAGUUGAGGAGAGGUGUGUGUAUUAUCACCCUCUCUCUACUCGUGAAAUGAUCUAUCUGACGACCAGAAAGGGGGCUGUUUGAAUCCUCAUCAGGUUUUACCCCAGCCAGCGCUGUAUCUGCUUCCAGGGUGGGGAACCUCUUUGGCCUAGAGUGGGGAGCAGAUGUUUAUCACUUAAAGCUUCCAAUUGUUCCUCCGUCACCACAUGCGGCAGCUAGGUGUUGCUUAUGGGCCAAAUUGAGACCUCUGCUUGGUCAAAUUUGGCUUAGAAGCUAGGAGUUCCUUACUCUGGUCUGUUUAAUUUCUCUCUCUCUCUUUGCUACUGUCGCCACCAAAAUCAGUGGAGUUGGGAGGGCAUAACAUUUGCUUUGAGGGCUGGAUUAAAACUCUAAACAGGGUUAGUCAUCCCUGCUGUAACCACUACAUGACACUGAAACCUGCAUGUUAAACAACAGGAUACCUCUUGGGAAUAAACCAGGUCUGGAGAAAGCAGUCACAUUUGCAUCUUGCUUGUGCAGUUCCUGGAGGUGACUAGCUCACUACUGUUGGAAAACAGGGUGACUGAAUAAAUGGAUCUGGGCCUGGUCCCCCAAAAUUCUUCUUACAUGCUUAGAAAACAUUAUUCCAAGCUCACCCUUGGAGCAUUUCUCUUACUGCCAGUGAACCAAAGCUUUAUUAGCAAAAUAUUUUUUCAUGUUCGUAAGCUAAAUAAUUUCAGCCACCUCAUUAAUACAUAGGAGCCUACAGACUGCUUUGCUUGUUACCCCACAUUUAAAAGGCAGGCCCUAACCUUGCCUUUGUUCUGCAGCCACACUGCUGUGUUUUCACUUGGAUUCUUGGCAUAGGUCUGAAAGAAAUGAUAAUAAGAUAGAAAUGGUUUUAUCCAGAUGUGGUUUUACAUUUAUAAAGUUCAUUUACAGUGUAAUCCUAAACAGAUUCCCCUCAGAAGCAAAUCCCAGAAGAUUCAAUGACACUUCCUAGUAAAAUGUGGUUAGGAUUGCAAUCUAUGGGGCUUACACAGGAUAUAGGAUCACAGUCUAAAUUAUUCUUUUUGCUGUCUUUAUGAGUUCCACUGAAGCCUGGCUACUUGUUCAUGUAUUGCUGCCUCUGAGUGUGCGAACACUUUGAUUUCCCUUGCUCUUUAAACACCAUCUCUUUUAUUAAGUUUAAACAUGUUUAUGUAAAUAGCUUUCUACCCUUCUUGCUUAGCAGGUGUCUUGUGGGGGGAAAUCAUUGUGUAAAAUCAAGUAAAUACUAAGGGUUUCAAUAGCUUUUCUCAAAAUUAGUUUGGAAAGUGCCUUGUGAGGUAGAACAAACAGAGAGACAUCAGUGUGUUAUUAAUGAUACCUUUUUAAGCUUGCAAAGGAAUAGAAAAGAAAAGAAAAGACAGUCAAACAAGGUUCUAACACCUCAAAGGCUCCCUUCUUUAUGUGUUGGAUACAAUGAAAGCUACAAUCCUUAACUACACUUCUUAGGCUCUGUGCUUAGAAGUGUCAUUUUAAGCAAUAUUCUGGGCUUGAAGAAUACAUCUUUGAUGUCUUGAAAGCUUGGAUAAUAUGUACUAUUUUGUUAUCUUUGUCCUUAAACAGCUAAGUAGCUCAGAAAUAUGCAAAUGUGAAUAGCCAACAGGUCCCUAUUUAAAUCUUUUGCAAAAUUAUAAACACAAUUCUGAAGAUGCUGGUGGUACCUACAUAUGAAAGGAAUGUCUGUGAGCCCUGAUUGGAGAUUUCCCUUCUCUCUCUUGUUUCAUUAUUUCUUUCAUCUGUCUUUAUUUAGUACAGAAUAACAGACACCCAUUACAGAAGGACUACAUUACUUCUGGGAACUGACCCUCCUUGUAAUUGACUCCCUCUGAAGACUGGAGAUACUUCAAAAUAGAGCCUAGUGAUAUAUCUGUCCUUUCCUAUGUUUCCACAGCUCAUCCUGUCUCCAAACGGCAUAGCUCCGGUUUCAGUGAUACGUCCCAGCUGCUAAAAAUGCUGUGGCUCUCUGCCAUUGUCAAACAACUCAGUCUAAUCUCUCUCUUUAUCGCUCAUUUCCCCUUAUUUAUACAGGUGCCUGAAAUGCAUGGGGGCUGAGAGGGAUUAAGAAUAUUACAUAAUUUGUGACUGUCAUUGGCUCUUGAAAACCUGAGCAGGGAACAUGGUAUGGUCCAAAGGCUUGUGAAGCCACCACCUGGCAGGUCUGCAUUGGGUCAGUGCCUGGGUGGGUGCCUGACUGGGGAACGCCUUGGGAUCCAUGACAGAAGAAAGGAAGGAUAUAAAUGUAAGAAAAUAUUUCUAGUCCAUUCAGCUUUGUCAUAAUAAUCAGUCAGCCUCUGACUCCCUUUCAGAACAAUAUUCAUAUCCAGAGGCUUCCCAGGAGUUGCUAGCAUGUAUGAAGGAAAUCGCCACAAAGGCCAUAAACCUGUACUUCUUGCUACCCUCCAUGCAGCUUGCGACUGUUUUCUCAGGAUGGUCCAAGAAAUCCCUGUAGCAGCAAUAAUGCAGCCUGCCUUUCGCUUUUCCACACAAGGAUGUCCUACGCAAACUGCAGACUUCACAAGAGCUCCCAAAAGUCAAGUGUAAACUACUUUCAUCCUAAGCAUGUUUACUUAGAAAUGUGAACAACUGAGUUCAGUGGCACUUACUUCCCUGCCAUUGUUGCUUAAGGGUAAUAGCCUAACUGGCAAUCCCGGUGCUCAUGAUGGGUGUUUUUCCCUGCCUGUUUUGCAUCAAUGACAUACAUUGCACCAAAGGCCAUCAAUGCAGUUUUGAGGACUUGAAAUUCUCCCGGACCUUUUGUUAUUUCUGUAAGGAUGGGUAGUAGCAAUUACAGUGGUACCUCUGGUUACGUACUUAAUUCGUUCCGGGGGUCCGUUCUUAACCUGAAACUGUUCUUAACCUGAAGCACCACUUUAGCUAAUGGGGCCUCUUGCUGCUGCCGCGCCGCCAGAGCACGAUUUCUGCUCUCAUCCUGAAGCAAAGUUCUUAACCCAAGGUACUAUUUCUGGGUUAGCGGAGUCUGUAACCUGAAGCGUAUGUAACCUGAAGCGUAUGUAACCUGAGGUACCACUGUACUGGCUGUGCAUUUCAUCAACUGCACCUGUUCCAAAGGUCCCAAACCUUUUCAGAAUAGAGGUGUCUGCACGAUCCUUAUCUUCAACAAUACUUUUCAUGGCACUGCCCUUGACGUUGACUGGAUAGGGUGGCGUUUUACCCCAGAGUAGACAUAUUGAAAUUAAUGGACAUAAUUUAGCCAUAUUCAUUAAUUUGGGUGGGUCUGCUCUGAGUAAAAGUUAGUUCGCUGCCACCCAUAAUGUUGCAGCAUUCCUCCUGACAACCACAGUGCAGACAAGUGAGGACAUACCCAACAUUUUCUUCAGCAACCAGACUGGCUGCUUGUGCCUUUCCAGGCCCAGUUCAAAAUGCUCGUUUGAUAUCUUCAUGGCCUGCAACAAACAUGCCUUAGAGACCACCUCUCCAUGUAAGACCCUACUCUACCAAUCAUGCUCUGUUUAUCACCAUUACACACAAGUAAAGUCAUCAACAUCUAGAUAGGACUGGCUCUACCAUUAUACAGUGAGACAACCAUCUGAGGCAGCAGAUGCACAGGGCCAGCAUAGCAGCUGGUUAUUCUUCCUCAGACCUUCAGCCAUUCCCCUCUGUUGCAGCAUGACCUCUCCUGGGCCCUCAAAACUGACAUGGUGCCUCAGGUGUAAUGAAGCUUGCUGCCCCAUCAUCUGUGUUGAAGUACGAUGCAGCUGUCAGUCCAAUCAGCUUCUGUAUGUGGAAUGGGAAGAGGGCACUAUAAUUUGCUCCAGGCCACAAAAUGUCUUGGGCCAGCCCUGCAGAGCUUGCGCUACAAUUGCCUGUUGUUCUUUUACUUUCCUGUUUUCUGUUUUGUUGUAUUGUAUGUAAACUGUCUUGAACCCAGGAAAGGUUAAUCACCUCCUCCUCAUAAGCUAACUCUCUUUUGUGCGCACAUCCCAUAUCCACAUUAGCAUUAUGAGGCCUGCAUGACAUCAGGAAUUCCCUGCUCAAAUCAUAAUUUCAGUUCUGCUCUACCUAAGUAGCUCAAGGGAUGUUGCAAGGCUUGGGAAAUCAAAACAGAUGGAAGGAAGCAUUUCCAGUUAGAUUAUUAUUAUUCUUAUUGUGCUGGAAUAGUCCUGAAGAAAUCUUGCAGCACCUUUUAACAGUUAAAAAUCCCAUGAAAAAUAGCCAGGUACCUCAUUAGACCAGCCAGUCAACAUGGCAGUCGGUAGUGCACCAGGCCCAAGGGGUAAGCAUUUGGUCCAUUUCCUGAUCAUGUAAAGGAGCAUGCAAAAUAUUGAGCGAGGGCCAUCUCAGCUUCCCAGAGCAACUGCCCAUAUAUCCUGGGAGAGGAUUGCCUCACAUUUUGACAACCAUGGCUUCUUGCUUUCCUGAUUGCCUCAGGUUCUGACAUGUAUAUAUCCUUCUAUGUGAGAAAGUUCGCAGUGUUUGCAUAGCAACUUCUCUCAGUCACCUCCAAGACUAAAUCAAAAGUGCUAGGUAGAGGUACUUCAGCCAAAGAAAUUACAGCUAGCACCUGGAUAUAGUGCUAUGCAGUACCUUUUAGUAUUUUCAGACUAUCCCUAACCAUAACAAGGACCGAUAUGUCCCAAGGGCCUUCUAGGGGUCAGACAUACUGAUUCAGCGCAACCAACCAUUGCAAAACCCAGGCUGGAGCUAGACACAUCAAAAAAGUGUUUCAGGAAAAUGCGUUCUAACCUUCAUAGUGCAAAAUCACGUUGGCAAAAGAUGGGACUCCACAGUGCCAUCUGUUGUCACAGUGUUAUAUAUAAAAUGUUUUUUCUUUACUAAUGUAGCCGAGUCCCCAGUCUAGACAUGCCCUUAUGUAGUAAAGCAUGCUUCCUCAACCUCGGCCCUCCAGAUGUUUUUGGCCUACAACUCCCAUGAUCCCUAGCUAGCAGGACCAGUUGUCAGUGAUGAUGGGAAUUGUAGUCUCAAAACAUCUGGAGGGCCAAGGUUGAGGAAGCCUGUAGUAAAGGGACAGGGAUAUUCUAUAAGCACAAAUCAAUUGUUCUGAAGUAAUCGUUUAUAGUCACAACUGCCCAGUCUAGAGCCUGGGGGGAUUCAGGCUAACCUCUAGGGAUUUUAUCGCGAUACCCAAACUAUAGUUAUUCUGCCUAAAGCACAAGUAGCACUGAAACUUGCCUUGAGUGUACUAUUAAGAAACAGCAAGUCAGUGUUGUAUUCUUCGAGUUUGAUAAGGAUCCCAUAGGUUACCCAAAGGAUACCCAGAGGUUGUAAUAACCUUAUUCAUGGGACCAGAAAUGCUAUAAGGGUAUGCCCAAAACCAAUAGCAAAGUACAUGCCCCCAGUACUUACUGCAGAUUUGAAAGAAACAUGGCAAGACUUGUGCUUACCACAUAAUAAAAUGGCAGGCCAGUAGCGGUAAGGCUUGCAGUGACUUGCAAAACAAAGUGGAGUCUGAUAGCACCUUAAGAGGUAUAUGGUCAAAUUCAAAUCUACAUUCAGCCAUUGUUAAGGUUGAGCUGUGGGUAGGUGUCGGCACCCGAGAGUUUAGCCAAGUAGUCAACAUCAGGGUGCAAGGCCUGGAGAACAAGACCAGGAGUUGGAUCAGAGGAAGAUGUUUGUAUUCAUGGAUGUAGCCAAGGGGAGGCAGGGAGGGGCAGCUGCCCCCACUAAAUCAAUAAAAAUCAAUAAAAAUACAUAGCUAACGGAGGUUCUGCGCCCCCCCCCCAAAAAAAAUCCAGGCUAUGCCCAUGUUUGUAUUGCCUCUGCAUAAUUGCAACCACAAAUGGGGAGAAGGCUCUUGCACUCAGGUCCUUCUUAUGGGCUUCCCAUAGGCGGUUGACCACCAUGAGGACAGGAUGCUAGAUUAGAUGGGCCUUUGGAAUGAUCCACUGUGGCUCUUCUUACAUUCUUACAACCAGGAACCACACGAGAAAUACACAAAAACCUCUAAGCCAGGAAGACCUUGCUGUUAAGGCAAAGUCUCAUCUGAAAAGAGGGAGCCUUUCAGCACCUUUCCUGUUCAGGAAGGUCUAAUGGCCAGGAUCUCAGUCUGGAUCAUGAAAAUACACCACUCCCUGGAAGAUGUUCCAAGCUCUGGUAGUUCACCAGCUUCUACAUAUAGGUGCAGCUGCACAUAGAAUCACAUCAAAUCAAAGUUUCCUGGUUCUGCUACAGCAGCUCCUGACUUCCAUGAUGCUCACAGGACAAAUCAGACCUAAAAACUCUCAGGCUAAACUGUUUCACAGGCAUGUGAAGGUAAAACUGGGAAUGGUGGAGGGAGGAUCAUGUUUGCUACCCUGGAGGAAAUGUAAUUAACAGAAAUAUAUACCUGUAGGCCACAGUGCUGCAAAUGCUCAAUCUGCCAUCAUGCAUUCCACAGAAAGUUAUUUGAGGAUCACAGCUAGAAGAAUUGGUGUGUGUGUGGGUGUGUGGGUGUGUUUAUGUGUUUAUAUUUUGCAUCAAUAACUUUUCUGUGUUAUAGCUUUACUAUCACAAAAGUUCACUGUCCUCUGAAAGAAACACCUUUUCUACUACUACUACUACAAGGACUUAUUUGCAUUUCAGAACACCAAUGAUACGCACAAUGCAUAUUAUUCUUAAAUAUUUGGAGAUAUGCUCUUGCCACUACUUCACCCAGUCACUUAUAAUGGCAUGCUUUCUCCUAUCACAAUAGAUGAAUAAGACAUUUAGGGCAAGCUGUAAAGGGCAGAAAUCUUCCAUUCUCCACUUCCUACCAACAUGGCAGGCUUCCUUUUCAGAAUGUUGGAAACUGUUAAAAGCUGCUGAAUAGGAGUCACCAAACUCCCUUCAUUCUGUUAUGAAUGCCGGCUCUCAUGUGUUCACUGCUGAUUAGACUACAUUAUUUCUAUGAUCCUAUUGGGCUUCACACAAGGCAUAGAGGCACUUGCCCUUAUUUGAAACUAGCAGACACCAGGAGAAUUUGCUGAUUGCUAAUGAGAAAGUGAA